GAAGAUCAUCAAACAGGCCAAACACAUCUUCCUGAGGAGCAGGGCGGCGCGGACCAUCGACAGUCUGGCCAGUCGUAUAGAGGACCCUCAGAUCCAGGCUCACUGGUCCAACAUCAACUCUGUGUAUGAGUCCAGCGUCAAAGUGCUCAUCACCUCGCAGGGAUACGAGCAGAUCUGCAAGUCCAUCCAGCUGCAGCUGAACAUCGGUGUGGAGCAGAUCAGGGUUGUG